rnacentral:tRNA from 1 species
GCCGCUGUAGUGUAGCCUGGUUAGCAUCGGAGGCUGUGGACCUCUGGACGUGGGCUCAAAUCCCACCGGCGGCC